CAUACCCCCACUUACCAGAACUAUAAGCCAGCCAUAGCAUGAGCUGUUAAUACAUAUUUUUGCACUAUGAAAAUUUCAGAUAGGCAGUAAUAACUAUCACAAAUAAAUAUCUCAUUCUUUGAUUUUCCAAGAUUAUUUGGUAGGAGAGGGAGACUAAGAAAUUAAGUCCAAUUCAUACACAUUGAGGGGAAAGGGAUGUACAGAGAUAAACAAGACAGUCUAUAUGAUUUUUAUGGGAGAUUUGUAACUAUGCUAAUAACCGUAAUUCAAAGCAUUAUUUGGUACAAAUGUUACCAACAUUACAAGUAAUUAGGCACUGAAACAAUUAGAAGGAUAAGAAAGUAUUUACUUUCUAAUGACAUGUUGUUUAAGAUGGGUUUUGGGGAAUAGGAGGAAAAGACGUGGUUGGAGUGUGUCCAUUUUGCCAGAAAUGUAAGAAUUUGAGGAUGAUGCUGUAGUUAAGAUGUUAGGGACAACUUUGUUGAGCAGUAAGUAUAUGGUUGAGAAACUGGUACUUGCCCUGGUAAGCAGUGUGGUGCCAUUGAAACUUUCUGAAGAUGGUAUGAUCUGAUCCAGUUCAACCUUUAAGAACACCUACGUAAAAGGUUCAUAAGCUUUUUGUAUGACCUAUUUCAGAAAACAGAAAAAAAAACAAAAAACAAAAAACCCAAACCUGAGGAAAUGCUAUAGUAAACUGAGGUUGCCGUCUUGUCUUGGAAACAGUCUGUUCAGUCCAGAUAGAGAUUUUCAACCAUACAAAUUUGUUGUCAAAUUUAGAAUAGGAUUUUUAAACAAAAAUCCAUAGAAGAAUCCUAAAGCUCUGGCCUCUACAUUGGCAUGGCAACAAUUGUCUAGAGGUGAGUCGUAGUUUGCUUCUUUUCUGUGGUACCUGUGUGCUGGUUCAUAUCAGUCAUCAUAAGGUCUGGAUGUUUCCUGCUUGGUUCUUGAAGCAUUUAUUAUAACCUAAUGAACAAAAAAAGAAGCGAGAUAUUGAUCUGGUAAAAUGGUACCAUAUUGGAGCUGUCUGUUGUGGUAUUCAUCAUGCUGUCACAUCCCGAGUGCCUUGGAGUUAUUGGAAAGUGGAAUUGAGAGAGUUCUGUCAUUUGGUGUGGCAAUCCAUUCACAGGACAGUCACUACAAUAUUUGCAAUGGUUUGCUUAUUUUUCUAGCCAGGCUACCUUCAUCUUGAGUAACAAGAAGGCCUUCCUAUUAUCCCAUGCAUAGUAGUAUUAAUAGGUCACAUGUAACUGUUCUCUAGCUUGUCUUACUGGCAUAACGACUCUUUUUCUAAGUCAGUGCUCACACUUGCUACCUGUCCCUGCACUCAUGAUGCACUGGGUUCAUUCCUAUGGGACCAGUAUAUCUGAGUGUGGCUUCAAGCCCCUUAUGCUUUUAUCUGAUGGUGGUGAGGAGGUAAAAGAUGAACUUUUAUAUGUAGAAAGCUUUUAGUUUCUUCCCACACUAAAAUAUCAGUUAAUGUUAAAAGAGCUUUCAAAAGUAUAAAAAGAUACUGUCAAUCUUCAAUGACUAGAUUAAAGAGUUUGAAUGAA